CUACGGGGUGCAGCAGUGGGGAAUAUUGCACAAUGGGCGCAAGCCUGAUGCAGCCAUGCCGCGUGUAUGAAGAAGGCCUUCGGGUUGUAAAGUACUUUCAGCGGGGAGGAAGGGAGUAAAGUUAAUACCUUUGCUCAUUGACGUUACCCGCAGAAGAAGCACCGGCUAACUCCGUGCCAGCAGCCGCGGUAAUACGGAGGGUGCAAGCGUUAAUCGGAAUGACUGGGCGUAAAGCGCACGCAGGCGGUUUGUUAAGUCAGAUGUGAAAUCCCCGGGCUCAACCUGGGAACUGCAUCUGAUACUGGCAAGCUUGAGUCUCGUAGAGGGGGGUAGAAUUCCAGGUGUAGCGGUGAAAUGCGUAGAGAUCUGGAGGAAUACCGGUGGCGAAGGCGGCCCCCUGGACGAAGACUGACGCUCAGGUGCGAAAGCGUGGGGAGCAAACGGGAUUAGAUACCCCUGUAGUC
rnacentral:rRNA from 1 species